UUUUUUUUAAACAUAAGACCAUGAAAUUUCAUUUUAUCUUUCUAAAUGGAAUUUCUGCCAAUAAACUCCCUAUUCAGCCAAGGAGGUGAGAAUUGGUUGCUAGGCUGUUUAUUUCUCUUUGUAAGCUCUUGUUGCUCAUCACUUUGGCUAAUUUUGCAGGUCCCUUUAUCUGCUAGCUACCCGGAUCAUCUAUCUUUAACUGCAUGGAGCACUGAUAUGAAAGUUUGGCGACUGAAUUCGUAUCUCAAAUUCCUUUGCUGCUUUUAGGCAGUGAGUAUCGUAUCUUGUUUUAUUGUGUAAUGAAGAUAAAAUUAUUCAAAAUCUGUGUUUGGGAAUUUGGACUAGGGUGUAUCUUCAGCAAUUACUUUCUUUGCCCAAUCCUGGAGCAUUGCUCAAGGAGGUCCACUAUUUUCUGCCACCUUCAAUCCUCUAUUAAAAUUCAUAGUGACAGUUUUGGCUUUCGUAUUUCUACAUUAAGAGAUGUCCACAUGAUAUUAAAAAUGGUCGAAUAAAAUACUAUUCAUUUCUCUCGACCAAACAUUUAAUCAGUCUAAUGGAUAUCUUCUGAUAUCAGCUUCGUAGGUUCACUUGCUGUGAUUGUUGGAUUAUAUGCUGUACUAUGGGGCAAAGCAAAAGAGAGUGAAGAACCUAUGAACGUUGACCCAAGUCAAAACAAAGAAGCAAAGCAAUCAGAAACUACCGUCUAGUGAAUCUUCAAACGACAAAAGAUGUAGAAAUGAUUUGGAGGAGCCUCUUCUAUCAGACAAAUCAACAUAUCACGGGCAUAAUGUCUGAUGGAUCAGUACAAUAAUGGACAGAAAUUUGGAGUUUCGCAUGUUUCUAGCCACUUUAAUAAUAUAAGAAAAAAAUUCAAAGAUCUUAGGUUUCUCCUAUAAGCUUUAUAGUUUGUGCAUAGUUUGUGCAUAUCUGCAAAGAGGCUGAAAGAUUUAAAGGGCAGGCACUAGCAUAUAUAAGGAGAUAUCUCAAAAAAGAAUGGAGAAGAUCAACAGACUGAAUGAGCUAAAAAGAAGAAGAAAUUCUACUUUCGAAUGAAGUACUCGAGAUCAAACAUAUAUUGGUCGACUUAAUAGCAUGAUGUCGACUACCUUCAUGUACUUUUACUGCAAAUCUGAGAUUUUAACUUCCAGGUUACAAGCUUGUGGUUACCUUUGGAGUUUCACAACCCAAAGAACUAAAGUAAAAUCCAUGAAAUCCAAUAUAAUAACAAUGACCAAUGCAGAUUA